rfam:Camelus ferus unplaced genomic scaffold scaffold2139, whole genome shotgun sequence.
GGGAGUACCGCUCAGUGGGAGAGCACAUGCUUACCACGCAUGAGGGCCUGGGUCGAAUUCCCAGUACCGUCA